UGCAGCUCUCAAAAGAUUGGAUCUGAAAGACAGAGAGAGAGAGAGAGAGAGAGAGAGAGACACACACGCACACAGGAGGAGAAAGAGAGCCAGAGCCAGAGAUGAAGACAAGGGAGGGAAGGGAAAAAAGACUUUUCUUUUUUUCUUUCUAGAGGAAUUCUGCCCAGACUCUCCAGCAGUUGGUAGCAGGCAAGCUUUCUCCUGUGUCGCCUGGAAAAGUUGCAAAAUUGCUCUUCACCUGUAAGAACAUGCAUUUUAUCUUCCAGUCUCUUCUUGUCAAUUUGGAAAUUGCAGACACCCCGGCUCAGGAGAAAUGGCUCUGUGCAUUGGUUUUCCUGGCUGACACUGAGAAUAAGCAACUCUGUCUGCUUGUUGUCUGAAGUUGUUUGAAGAUGAUUAGAGGAGAAAUAACACCAAAGCCCUGAGCAAUGCUUUGCAGACAUCUAGGGGCUCAGGAUGUGUGAUGUAGCCUAGUUCUAUUUGUUGACAUCCAGCUUUUGAAAGCAUCAGCCUUUGAGAGUGGAACAAUAUUGGAGCUAUGGAGUCACCUUUACCUGGAAAUAUCGAAGAUGUUUAUCUACAGAUUAAACAUUUAAAUUGUGGGUGUCUGUAUAUUAUACCAUCACCUCUAGACACUCAGAAGAAGAGGAUUUCAGCUUACGAAGCCUUCUGUCUUACCAGGGCUUGUCUUUGCUCGUGAUACUGUGUCAGGAAGCAGAAGGCCUCACACUGCUCAUUGACUGGGUGACUCACAGUUAUGGAGAAAGGCCUAGAGCUGCAGUGCAAAGACUAUGCACACUCCACCACACCACUGAGCUCCUUAUGUGCCCUGCAAAAGAACACUCAAUUCUAAGGCCAAGCAAACCAGCACAA
ensembl:lincRNA orthodenticle homeobox 2 opposite strand 1